rnacentral:rRNA from 1 species
CAUCAGGUCAUACCUCAUUACGUGUACGGACCAAAGGUGGCCUCUACAUGUAAGCUAUCGCGUUGGGAUGGGCCCAGUUAGGAUUAGCUAGUUGGUAAGGUAAUGGCUUACCAAGGCGACGAUCCUUAGCUGGUUUGAGAGGAUGAUCAGCCACACUGGGACUGAGACACGGCCCAGACUCCUACGGGAGGCAGCAGUGGGGAAUAUUGCACAAUGGGGGAGACCCUGAUGCAGCCAUGCCGCGUGUGUGAAGAAGGCCUUCGGGUUGUAAAGCACUUUCAGCAGUGAGGAAGGUGGUGUACUUAAUAGGUGCAUGGCUUGACGUUAGCUGCAGAAGAAGCACCGGCUAACUCCGUGCCAGCAGCCGCGGUAAUACGGAGGGUGCGAGCGUUAAUCGGAAUUACUGGGCGUAAAGCGCAUGCAGGCGGUUUGUUAAGUCAGAUGUGAAAGCCCGGGGCUCAACCUCGGAACCGCAUUUGAAACUGGCAGGCUAGAGUCUUGUAGAGGGGGGUAGAAUUUCAGGUGUAGCGGUGAAAUGCGUAGAGAUCUGAAGGAAUACCAGUGGCGAAGGCGGCCCCCUGGACAAAGACUGACGCUCAGAUGCGAAAGCGUGGGUAGCAAACAG